CAUCGUUCUCAGGGCGGGGCGAAAUUCCCCACCGGCGGUAUCCGGAGCGAUCCGGGAGCCCGCGAGCGCCUUCCGCGAGGAAGGGUCAGCAGAUCCGGUGCGAUGCCGGAGCCGACGGUCACAGUCCGGAUGGAAGAGAGCAAGC
rnacentral:ncRNA from 2 species